CCCUACGGGGCGCAGCAGGCGCGAAAACUUUACAAUGCGGGAAACCGUGAUAAGGGAACUCCGAGUGCCCGUUAAAUCGGGCUGUCCACCAGUUUAAAAACUGGUGAAGAAAGGGCCGGGCAAGACCGGUGCCAGCCGCCGCGGUAAUACCGGCGGCUCGAGUGGUGGCCACUAUUACUGGGCUUAAAGCGUUCGUAGCUGGUCUGUUAAGUCUCUGGGGAAAUCUACCGGCUUAACCGGUAGGCGUCUCAGGGAUACUGGCAGACUAGGGACCGGGAGAGGUGAGGGGUACUCCAGGGGUAGGAGUGAAAUCCUGUAAUCC
rnacentral:rRNA from 1 species